CGCAAACUUUGGAUCUUGUUGUUACUACAAGGUCUUUGCUAUUUAGCUUCAGUCGCACAGCGUAUGACGUAGGAGCAACUGAGGAGGUAUCCUCCACAUGUCGUGUGUAUCUUUGCAGAUCAUAAUUUCGAGUAAACAACCCUUAACAAGAUUCGAUCGGGGGGAGCCAACAUAAUCAGCCCCACAAAUUAUCUCCUAAACUGAGAACAUUGACAGGACUCUUCUUUGGGUCCUUGCUCUCCACAACAGCUGUUUGCUAUGGCAACUUCAUCCCCAAGGUUCACGUGGUGUGAUUGUCGCAAACACAAGAUUCCUGUCAAAGACACCCAUGAGCUGUGCCUGCAUUGUCUGGGCAUCCAGCAUGCCAAGGAGGCUGUGCUGGAGUAUGGCAAAUGCCCACACUGUGCCAAGAUGGACUGGAGCACCUGCAUCAACCGCCUCACUAAAGUUCAGGAGAUAAUGCACCGCGAGAGCCAGCAGAGGAAGCACGAGGCAGCACAGUCUGAAGUUAAGCCCAAGCCUGAGACCACUUCAGCUCCCAUCAAGGAACCAAAACCGGAAGAAAAUACAGUCCCCACCCUGCCCCCACAUCGGCUCUCUGCUUCCACACCAGCCCAUUCCUCCACCAUGCCAGUGUUGUUCACCAUCCUCUCCCCACCCCCAGCGCAGGCAGGGGACAAUUUGAGCAUCCCAAAAGGCACUUUCCUCUCACAACUUGCUAUUCAGCAGUCAGCUGACUCCACCCCAUCCUUGAGCCAAUCAGGUUCCAACAUGCUGACCUCCAGCUCCUGUAAACGACACGGUUUCUCAUCGUCCUGCUCCAAACGCUCCAAACGAAGCCGCAGUAGCCACAGGCGGAGACGCUCUCCCUCCUCCUCCUCUUCCUCUUCAGACUGGAGCUCUGAUGAAGAUGAUUCCUGCCCCUCUGGAAAGGGAAGGAGGUCUCAGAGGGAAUCGCGGCAAGCUGUCCGGUCAGAGAGGAGGCACGGGGAGCUGGUGGAGGUUGUUCAACAGGCCGUCCAGCUACAGUGGGCUGUUCUGGAGAAGCGCAUUGAGGCUCUGGAGAGGAGAGGUGCUGAGGCUGUUGUGUCGUUCCCCACUCCAGCCCAAACUAUACAUCUUCACGCCUCCAUCCCUCUGGCAUCCACCUCCUCUCAGGAGGGCAACCAGAGAGAUUUAUCCUGCCUUGUCAGCGAGCAGCUGGUGACGGAAUCUAUGUCCAGUACCAUUGUGAAGCAGGAAGAGGAGCCUUCCUCCAUUUCGUUUGCCUUGAGACCUCUCAGUGAUGGACACCGUGAAGGGGAGGAUGCCUCUCAGUCAACUGAGGGUCCUAUCUCUAAACAGGACUUACUGGAAGCUAUGGAGCUUCAGAGCCUCAUAGCACGUGCUGCCAAGUAUCUUGGUAUAGACUUUCCCAGCACACCAGCCAGCCCCAGCCCACCAGACCCCACAAUGGUGCCGGAGUUUGAGGACCUGGUCCAGAGCUUUUGGCCAAACCCUGCCAGCUCGAAACCGUACAGGGAGCUGUUCUCUAAGAUGUACAGGCUUCACGACUGCCAGUCUCCAGCGUAUGACCAGAUGCCCCAGGUCAACAGUUUCAUGUCGGCUAUCUUCCAGGCGGUGAAGCCCACAGAGAACAAGGAGGCGCCGGUGCCAGCUGAGCGAUGGCGUUUCACUGAGACUCUAGUAGAGAGGAUGUACCAGACUGCUGGCAUGCUUGCCAAGACGGCCAACUACCUACGCUACCUAUCAGACUACCAGAGGAGGCUUCUGCUGGAGAUCACUGAGGAUUGUCCAGCCCAGCGUUUUAUGGUGGCCCUUAACGAGCUGAAGCUCAUUGGCCAGUUCACCCUCCAGCUAUCCUCCCACCAGGCUGAACUGUCUGGAAGGGUCAUGGCUGCUUCUGUAGCCAUCCGAAGACAGGUCUGGAUGGCUAAGACCAACUACACAGACUCUCUGAAAGCCACUGUGGCUGACCUUCCAUUUGUGGUCAGUCACACCUUUGGGGUUAGCUCAGCCUCAGGCCCUAGCUCAACUGGAAUGGUGUGCAAACAGGAACCGUUGUAAAGGCUACAUUUGUUACAUGUAUAAAAAGUGUGAGUAGUAUGAACUUUUACCUGUGCUGAAUUGGGUUGAGACCACUAAAUGGUUUACUUGUAGACAUGUAAAUAGGGAAAUAUUCUUUAUAGUCUUAUUGCACUCCAGUUCAAUAUACCUUUUGAUAGAAUUUUUUUUAUCUAGGAAUUUUGCAACUGUUUUUGAACAAAGGUAGCAUAGUAUCUGUGUCUUGACUGCAUUACAGUUCUUUUGACUGCGUGUUUGGUAAACUUCUUCAGAGGUUAUGUUGAAAGUAAGUUUCUUGUUCAUUAUGAGACUUAUAGUUCCAUCAGAAAGUAUUCACACCGCUUGACUUUUUCCACAUUUUGUUUUACAGCCUGAAUUUUAAAAGGGAUUACUUUGACAUUUUGUAUCACUGGCCUACACAUAAUAUCCCAUAAUGUCAAAGUGGAAUUUUUUAUUUAUUUAUUUUUUACAAAUUCAUAAAUUAAAGCUGAAAUGUCUUGAGUCAAUAAGUACUCAAGCCCUUAGUUAUAGCAACCCUAAAUAACUUCAGGAGUAAUAUGUUGCAUAGAUUCACUCUGUGUGCAAUAAGUGUUUUAACAUUAGUUUUGAAUGACUACCUCAUCUCUGUACCCCACACAUACAAUUAUCUGUAAGGUCCCUUAGUCGAGCAGUAAAGUUCAAACACAGAUUCAACCACAAAGACCAGCGAGGUUUUUCAAUGUCUCGCAAAUAAGAGCACGUAUUGGUAGAUGGGUAAAAAUAAAUAAAUGUAAAUACUUUCUGAAGGCACUGUAUGAUAGAUAUCAUCCAUUAUUUUUCUGUCCACUACCUCACUCUUCUUCAGAAGUUCUGUGAUUGCAUAAAAAGUAUAAUAAAAGUGCACAAAUAUUCUCCUCUGAUUUUGUAUUUAUUGUGAAAAUAGUCAAUAUUUUGUUAAUAUUGAAUAGUAAAAUGUCACCUCAUCUUCCGCAUAGAGAUGAUCAAAUAAAUGUACCUCUGUAGCAUGGCAAUAGUCAAAUCAAAUUUGAUUGAUCA
rnacentral:lncRNA from 1 species